rnacentral:rRNA from 1 species
GUGGGGAAUAUUGCACAAUGGGCGAAAGCCUGAUGCAGCGACGCCGCGUGAGGGAUGACGGCCUUCGGGUUGUAAACCUCUUUCAGUAGGGAAGAAGCGAAAGUGACGGUACCUACAGAAGAAGCACCGGCUAACUACGUGCCAGCAGCCGCGGUAAUACGUAGGGUGCGAGCGUUGUCCGGAAUUAUUGGGCGUAAAGAGCUUGUAGGCGGUUUGUCGCGUCUGCUGUGAAAAUCCGGGGCUCAACCCCGGACUUGCAGUGGGUACGGGCAGACUAGAGUGUGGUAGGGGAGACUGGAAUUCCUGGUGUAGCGGUGAAAUGCGCAGAUAUCAGGAGGAACACCGAUGGCGAAGGCAGGUCUCUGGGCCACUACUGACGCUGAGAAGCGAAAGCGUGGGGAGCGAACAGGAUUAGAAACCCCAGUAGUCC